rnacentral:rRNA from 1 species
UUGAACGCUGGCGGCAUGCUUUACACAUGCAAGUCGCACGGUAACAGGGUGCUUGCACCGCUGACGAGUGGCGAACGGGUGAGUAAUGCAUCGGAAUGUACCGUGUAAUGGGGGAUAGCUCGGCGAAAGCCGGAUUAAUACCGCAUACGCCCUGAGGGGGAAAGUGGGGGACCGAAAGGCCUCACGUUAUACGAGCAGCCGAUGUCUGAUUAGCUAGUUGGUGAGGUAAAGGCUCACCAAGGCGUCGAUCAGUAGCGGGUCUGAGAGGAUGAUCCGCCACACUGGGACUGAGACACGGCCCAGACUCCUACGGGAGGCAGCAGUGGGGAAUUUUGGACAAUGGGCGCAAGCCUGAUCCAGCCAUGCCGCGUGUCUGAAGAAGGCCUUCGGGUUGUAAAGGACUUUUGUCCGGGAGCAAAUCCUAGUGGUUAAUACCUACUGGGGCUGAGAGUACCGGAAGAAUAAGCACCGGCUAACUACGUG